rnacentral:tRNA from 1 species
UGGGGUGUCGUCUAAUGGCAGGACAGCGGUUUCUGGUGCCGUAUGUGGAGGUUCGACUCCUUCCACCCCAGCCA